GCGAACGGACGAGAAGCUUGCUUCUCUGAUGUUAGCGGCGGACGGGUGAGUAACACGUGGAUAACCUACCUAUAAGACUGGGAUAACUUCGGGAAACCGUAGCUAAUACCGGAUAAUAUUUUGAACCGCAUGGUUCAAAAGUGAAAGACGGUCUUGCUGUCACUUAUAGAUGGAUCCGCGCUGCAUUAGCUAGUUGGUAAGGUAACGGCUUACCAAGGCAACGAUGCAUAGCCGACCUGAGAGGGUGAUCGGCCACACUGGAACUGAGACACGGUCCAGACUCCUACGGGAGGCAGCAGUAGGGAAUCUUCCGCAAUGGGCGAAAGCCUGACGGAGCAACGCCGCGUGAGUGAUGAAGGUCUUCGGAUCGUAAAACUCUGUUAUUAGGGAAGAACAUAUGUGUAAGUAACUGUGCACAUCUUGACGGUACCUAAUCAGAAAGCCACGGCUAACUACGUGCCAGCAGCCGCGGUAAUACGUAGGUGGCAAGCGUUAUCCGGAAUUAUUGGGCGUAAAGCGCGCGUAGGCGGUUUUUUAAGUCUGAUGUGAAAGCCCACGGCUCAACCGUGGAGGGUCAUUGGAAACUGGAAAACUUGAGUGCAGAAGAGGAAAGUGGAAUUCCAUGUGUAGCGGUGAAAUGCGCAGAGAUAUGGAGGAACACCAGUGGCGAAGGCGACUUU
rnacentral:rRNA from 1 species